rnacentral:rRNA from 1 species
AUUGAACGCUGGCGGCAGGCUUAACACAUGCAAGUCGAGCGAGCGGCGGACGGGUGAGUAAUGUCUGGGAAACUGCCUGAUGGAGGGGGAUAACUACUGGAAACGGUAGCUAAUACCGCAUACCAUCGGAUGUACCCAUAUGGGAUUAGCUAGUAGGUGGGGUAAAGGCUCACCUAGGCGACGAUCCCUAGCUGGUCUGAGAGGAUGAUCAGCCACAAUGGGACUGAGACACGGUCCAGACUCCUACGGGAGGCAGCAGUGGGGAAUAUUGCACAAUGGGCGCAAGCCUGAUGCAGCCAUGCCGCGUGUGUGAAGAAGGCCUUCGGGUUGUAAAGUACUUUCAGCGAGGAGGCGUUACUCACUGAAGAAGCACCGGCUAACUCCGUGCCAGCAGCCGCGGUAAUAC